AUCUUUCAUGUUUUUGUUCAUAACAGAAAAAAGAUUUACAUGAGAGUUUUUUUAAAUUUCAUUUUAAAGAAAUUUACGUGCAAAUGUUUUUCUCAAGAUUUAACCUUCCCCCCACCCUUAAUCAUCUAUUUGUACAUAUUCGUUACCAUAGCAACGUUACAUCAUGACUCCUGGAUUCUCAUAAUGAAAACAAAACAAAAACAACAAAUAACUGAGGAGUUCAUCAGCAAAACAGAUUUUGGAAUCUGCCAUGCCAUGCAUCUUAAUUUCUUGUUUCAUCUUGGAACGUGAACUUAUCAUGGAAUGAGCAUAUGUGCUCAUCUCAUGAAUCCUCACUGAAUGUCAAGGAUUUUUCCUGUGCUUGAAAUGGUAGGAGAAGCAAGACUUUUACUCCUUUUGUCUCUUCAAUAGCAACCCAUAUUCAGUCAAUAAUAAGGUCACAUUUAUUCUUCUUUCAUGUUGUCCAUUGUCAUUCACACUGUUAUUUCCAUAGUCCAAGCCCCAAGUAACAACAUACUGAGUUGUUGUAAUUACCAGCUAAAUCAUCUCCACAGCUUCAUGUUAUCCCCAUCGUAAUGUAACCUCAAGGCUGCCAUCAGAACAACUUUCUAUUAACAUGACUCUGAUUAUG